GGCAAUGUGGCGUCAUGGUUUGAGUGUUGGACUACGACUCUGGAGACCUGGGUUCCAUUCCCAGCUCGGCUA